rnacentral:rRNA from 1 species
UACGUAGGGUGCAGGCGUUAAUCGGAAUUACUGGGCGUAAAGCGUGCGCAGGCGGUUUGCUAAGACAGGUGUGAAAUCCCCGGGCUUAACCUGGGAACUGCGCUUGUAACUGGCAAGCUAGAGUGUGGCAGAGGGGGGUGGAAUUCCACGUGUAGCAGUGAAAUGCGUAGAGAUGUGGAGGAACACCGAUGGCGAAGGCAGCC